GGGGCUGCCAGAGACCUCAUGAAAUUUGGAGGUUUUAUUUGGGAGAACCCAGUCCUACUUGCUUCUAGUACUGGAGAGAUUUGUAGCUUCAGAUGGGGAUUUCAAAGCUGCGUAUAGAAGGUGAGGCGUGAGAAAAGCAAGGCAUCUCUGCAUCACUUUGCCAACAGAGCCCAAGACAGAAUUAUUUGAGGAGGCGUGGAGGGCGGGAAGAAGAUGGAGGGGACGGUGGAGGUUUAGGAGCUGCAGUGAGUGCCCAGUGCUGGGCCACACCUUGCUGGGGGUGGAGGGGUAGUGCUAUGCAUUCUUGCUGGUUUUAGGGAAGGAUGAAUGUGUGAUCAGGUGCAAGAUGAGGUGUACAUAGAAGUUACCCUCCUGAUCUGCAGGCAUGACCUGGGAGCUGACUUUCCACCUGUAUCCUCCUGUCUAGCGUGUCUUUGACUGGGGACUUUGCCAGGGCCCUGCCCAUUGCCCUGCGGAGCCUUUGGCUGCCCCAGUGCCUAGUUAAUUAUACAUAAAAAAUGGAGCAGCUCCAAAAGAGGGACUGGGGGACCUGGGGCACAUUACCCUGGAGAAGGUGACUGGAAUCUGCAUUUCCAGCUGAAGACCAAAGAUCCAGCUUGGUGGCACUGAGCAGAGGAGUGUCCCUGUUCUUGGUCAUAUUGGAAAACCUUGUGAGGAAAAAUCUGCUGGACUGAUUUUGAGAGCAAGCACCUUGUGACUGCUCUGUUGGGAACUGACAGGAAAUAAAGCUGCUGCCAUAAAGUUAUACGAUGAAUAUUACUUUGCAAGAUGGAUUCCAGUGCCUUGUCUUGAUUAUAUUUCUCCCUAUAAGAGAAAAGACUGGGGCUUUUUAAAAGGGUAACCUGGCUGCAAGAAGCUGCUUUAUUUCUGCAGCAGCUGGUAAUGUGCCUGUAUAGAAAUACUAAUAGCUUGUGUGAAGCCUGAGUAUUUCAGGAGCUAGGUUUGUUACGAAGAUUAAGACCAGGCCUGAUAGACAGGUACAAUGUCCUUUAUCAAACUACAGCAUAAUAAUAAGAGAGAGUAAAUCAAAGUAUAUGAAAGAAUUGGAUUCUUUCAUUGUGGGAAAUAUUUUACACAUUAAUCAUCAACUUCUGUUUGCUGGAUAGGUGUAAACAUGACAGAGGUGGUUAUUUCCUUCCAAAUUAUGUUACACAGUGAUUUAAAAAAGAUAAUCCAUCCCUGUCUGGAAAGCCACUGAAGUAGGUGCUAGCCAUUUGUGAAGGGAGCUGAAGAUUAUUAUGCAUUUAUUAAUUUGUCUGUGUUUAUAAUUAAGCUCAUUGCAUAGAGUUUGAAUAAAUCAGGGAAUAAAUGCAUUAUUGUAAUGUAGUUAUAUAAUUAGCAUGUGCCUCUAAUAUUGAUAUGUUAUGUGUCUCUGUAUUAGGUCUAAAGCUGCAUGACACAGUGUAUUUAUUAAAAUCUAGCAUUUGGAUAUUCCUAUAAUGGCAGAUCUUUCCUCAACUACUUGUGAGCCUGGGGGUAUGUAACAUCUGUUUGUCAUUGUACUCUGAAGAAAUA